UAAACUGUCUUACUGUAUCACAGAGGAGAUGGACUAUGCCAGGUGUGUUAAAUAGAUGUGUAAAUUUAGUAACUGAGGAGGAGUUAUUAAAGGAUGGAUAUACAUCAUAUUGUUUCAUAGUUUGAAACAGGUCGUAUCGCAGGUCGUUGUACAUAUCACAGUCUACAAGAAAAUGGAUUUCAUUUUCUAUUUUAUCCGAACAGAAGGGACACA